rnacentral:rRNA from 1 species
UACGUAGGUGGCAAGCGUUGUCCGGAUUUAUUGGGCGUAAAGGGCGCGUAGGCGGCCACCGCAAGUCGACUGUGAAAUCUCCGGGCUUAACCCGGAAAGGUCAGCCGAUACUGCGGGGCUAGAGUGCAGAAGGGGCAACUGGAAUUCUCGGUGUAGCGGUGAAAUGCGUAGAUAUCAGGAGGAACACCGGUGGCGAAGGCGGGUCUCUGGGCAGUAACUGACGCUGAGGAGCGAAAGCGUGGGGAGCAAACGGG